GCGAUCAUACCAGCACUAAUGCACCGGAUCCCAUCAGAACUCCGAAGUUAACCGUUCUUGUGCGAGAGCAGUACUAGGACGGGUGUCCCCUUGGGAAGUUCUCGUGUUGCACCU
rnacentral:rRNA from 1 species